UGACUGGAGAGUUUGAUCCUGGCUCAGAACGAACGCUGGCGGAGUGCUUCAGGCAUGCAAGUCGUACGCGAAAGUCACCUUCGGGUGGCGAGUAGAGUGGCGCACGGGUGAGUAACGCGUGGACAAUCUGCCUUCGGGUUCGGGACAACUCUGGGAAACUGGAGCUAAUACCGAAUAAGACCACAGGGUCCUUGGGCCCAGCGGUCAAAGGUGGCCUCUUCUUGAAAGCUACCGCCUGUGGAUGAGCCCGCGUCCCAUUAGCUUGUUGGUGAGGUAACGGCUCACCAAGGCUCCGAUGGGUAGCUGGUCUGAGAGGAUGAUCAGUCACACUGGAACUGAGACACGGUCCAGACUCCUACGGGAGGCAGCAGCCGGGAAUCUUGGGCAAUGGGCGAAAGCCUGACCCAGCAACUCCGCGUGAGGGAUGAAGGCCCUCGGGUCGUAAACCUCUGUCGGGAGGGAAGAACGGGCCGCAGUCGAAUAGGCUGC
rnacentral:rRNA from 1 species